rnacentral:rRNA from 1 species
GACGAACGCUGGCGGCGUGCCUAAUACAUGCAAGUCGAACGCAGUGGGGACGGGUGAGUAACACGUGGGUAACCUCCCAUCAGAGGGGAUAACCCUUGGAAACAGGUGCUAAACCGAUACUGAUGGAUGAACCCGCGGUGCAUUAGCUAGUUGGUGGGGUAACGGCUCACCCAGGCCACGAUGCAUAGCCGACCUGAGAGGAGGACCGGCCACACUGGGACUGAGACACGGCCCAGACUCCUACGGGAGGCAGCAGUAGGGAAUCUUCGGCAAUGGACGAAAGUCUGACCCAGCAAAGCCGCGUGAGUGAAGAAGGUUUUCGGAUCGUAAAACGCUGUUGUUAGAGAAGCGGUAUCUAACCAGAAAGCCACGGCUAACUACGUGCCAGCAGCCGCGGUAAUUC